rnacentral:rRNA from 1 species
GACGAACGCUGGCGGCGUGCUUAACACAUGCAAGUCGAACGGAAAGGCCCUGCUUUUGUGGGGUGCUCGAGUGGCGAACGGGUGAGUAACACGUGAGUAACCUGCCCUUGACUUUGGGAUAACUUCAGGAAACUGGGGCUAAUACCGCAUAUGAGCUCCUUCUGCAUGGUGGUGGUUGGAAAGUUGCGGCGGUUGGGGAUGGACUCGCGGUUUAUCAUCUUGUUGGUGAGGUGGUGGCUUACCAAGGCUCCGACGGGUAGCCGGCCUGCGAGGGUGACCGGGCACAUUGGGACUGAGAAAGGACCAAGACUCCUACGGGAGGCAGCAGUGGAGAAUAGUGCAAAAUGGGCGGAAGCCUGAAGCAGCAACGCCGCGUGCGGGAUGACGGCCUUCGGGGUGUAAACCGCGUUCGCCUGUGACGAAGAGUGAGUGACGGUAAUGGGUAAAGAAGCAACGGCUAACUACGUG